GAGGGUGUAGCUCAGUGGUAGAGCACAUGCUCAGACUGCACGAGGUCCUGGGUUCAAUCCCCAGUACCUCCA
rnacentral:tRNA from 1 species